GACGAACGCUGGCGGCGUGCUUAACACAUGCAAGUCGAACGGAAAGGCCCUGCUUUUGUGGGGUGCUCGAGUGGCUAACGGGUGAGUAACACGUGAGUAACCUGCCCUUGACUUUGGGAUAACUUCAGGAAACUGUGGCUAAUACCGGAUAGGAGCUCCUGCUGCAUGGUGGGGGUUGGAAAGUUUCGGCGGUUGGGGAUGGACUCGCGGCUUAUCAGCUUGUUGGUGGGGUAGUGGCUUACCAAGGCUUUGACGGGUAGCCGGCCUGAGAGGGUGACCGGCCACAUUGGGACUGAGAUACGGCCCAGACUCCUACGGGAGGCAGCAGUGGGGAAUAUUGCACAAUGGGCGGAAGCCUGAUGCAGCAACGCCGCGUGCGGGAUGACGGCCUUCGGGUUGUAAACCGCUUUCGCCUGAGACGAAGCGUGAGUGACGGUAAUGGGUAAAGAAGCACCGGCUAACUACGUG
rnacentral:rRNA from 1 species